rnacentral:rRNA from 1 species
GACGAACGCUGGCGGCGUGCCUAAUACAUGCAAGUAGAACGCAGUUGCGAACGGGUGAGUAACGCGUAGGUAAAUGCCUCAUAGCGGGGGAUAACUAUUGGAAACGAUAGCUAAUACCGCAUACUGUGCGAUGGCUCUGCGUUGUAUUAGCUAGUUGGUGAGGUAAAGGCUCACCAAGGCGACGAUACAUAGCCGACCUGGGAGGCUAAUCGGCAGCACGGGGGCUGAGAGACGGGCCAGACUCCUACGGGAGGCAGCAGUAGGGGAUCGUCGGCAAUGGACGGAAGUCUGGCCGAGCAACGACGCGUGGGGGAAGAAGGUUUUCGGAUCAUAAAGCUCUGUUGUUGGAGAAUCGGUAACUAACCGUAAGGGGACGGCUAACUCCGUGCCAGCAGCCGCGGUAAUAC